CCAUCAAACUAUUUUGAUCUAGAUCUUGCUCCAUUAUGUGAAUUUCUCUAGUUUGAACUGUUUUCUGAAGUCCUCGAGCAAGAGGCAGGCCAAUGGUGGUCUUAAUUUCAUGAUUUGAGACAUUUCAGUUUGCACACCUUGAUUUUCAAGCUCAGAUUUCUCAUUCAAUAGAGACUUUGAGGAAAUAUGGUGGUCUUAAUUUCAUGAUUUGAGACAUUUCAGUUUGCACACCUUGAUUUUCAAGCUCAGAUUUCUCAUUCAAUAGAGACUUUGAGGAAAAUCCAAGGUUACAGGGGUGAUGUACAUCACCCCAACUUCAUUUUGGUACCAUUGUUUUGCAUUUUCGUCAAGGUUGAAAAACCUGCGCGUGGUGGCCGGAAGUUGUUAACUGGCCGGAGAAGAUGGUGGUUUCCACCACCAUCCCCACGUGGAUCCACCUGUGCCCUUGGAUCUCAUUUAAAUGAUCUAAUCAUGGCCAUGCGUUCUGUUGACUUAUUUUAAUUCUUUAUGUUACGUGCUUGACCAAGGCAUAUGGUGCAUCAGCGCUUCAGGGCCGUGUGAUAGAGCCACGUCAUUUAAUGAAUCAGAUCCAAGCGCUCAUGUUUUUUCCUAUUUUCUAUUUUCUGUUUUAAUUUCUUUUAAUUCCUUUUAUUUUCAAAAUUCAUAACUAUUUUAUUUGAAGUCACAAAAAUAUGAGACCAAUGGCAAAAAAAUUCUUGAAAAAAUCUAGUUUCAUAAUCUGAUUUUUAAUUAUUUUUGUGACUUCAUUUAAUAUUAUUUUGUGAAUUAUUUUGUUUUUAAUAGUUUUUAAUUCAUUUUAAAUACUUUUUGAUAUCUGAAAAUUCCAAAAAUAUUUUCUUAACACAUAUGGAUCAUGAUAAGUCUAUGAAAAAUAGUCUCAUCAUACUUUUUGAUAUCUGAAAAUUCCAAAAAUAUUUUCUUAACACAUAUGGAUCAUGAUAAGUCUAUGAAAAAUAGUCUCAUCAAUUUCUUAAUUGAUUUGAGAUUUAUUUGAGAUUUUAAUUCAUUUGUAUUAUUUUUCAUUGUUUUUAAUUGAUUUAAAAUAGUUUCUGAUUUCAAAAAAUGUUGGAAAAUUUUGUCAAACCUUGUUUGACCAUGUUAGACAUAUGAGAAUUUAAUUGGACUUAUUCAAGUUGAUUUGAAUUGAAUUUGAGGUUUGACCUUAUUUUGUCCAUUUUAAUUUUGCAUUUAUUUUAAUUCCAAAAAUACCAAAAAAAUAUGUUUGAGUUGUUGACUUCUAAUCUUCAUUUCUCUUCUGUUUUACAUUGGUUGAUGAUGAUUUAAUUCUCAUUUGAUCAUUGUGUUUGAUGUUUCAUUUGAAUUCUCCUUUUAUUCAUUUCAUCUUCAUCUCACUUCUUCUUUUUAUUUGGCCAAUGAGUUAAUGCUUUAUGGUUGAUCUUGACAUAUGAGAGGCUUAACCUUCUUUGAUCCAAAUCAACUCAACUUGAUCAAAGAUCAACUGAGUUGCUUUAUGUCCAAGAUGGGUUGCUUCUUGGUCAAGCAAAAAACCUAAAGUCCAUACAAGGCUUUCCUCUUUUCUUUUGGCAUGGCAAGUUGUAGGAGCUUGGCUUACUAGUCAUGAUCUCUAACUUGUGUUAUUUUGCCUAUAGUUUUAUUGACCGGCCUCAGAUAGGUGUGACUACUAUAUUAGUCCACUUACGAUUGCUUAACAUAGCGCUAAAUUGUCUUAUGACACAUUAACAUUAACUACUAACUACUAACUUUAAUUUGAGCAUUUAAUUUCUUGCAAUUUACUUUAAUGCAAUUUACUUUCUUGCUCAUUUAUUCAUAUUGCUUUUUUCCCUUUGCUCAUUUAAGCACAUAUUUUAUUGUCUUUGUUUGUGUGAAUCCAAUGCAUAAAGGAGAAAGGACUUAGAAUUAGGACCUUACAUAUGCUUAAAGGAGUUCAAGAGCAACUAGGCCUCAUGUCUUUAGAAUGUUAAACUUGUUGAAAAGCAACUAGACCUCAUGCCUUUAGAAUGCUAAAUCUUAAGUUGAAUUUAAAGGACCCCUAAUCUAAACUCAUUCUUUGUCCAUUCCUCUUAUUGUAUUGUGAACCUUUUGAUGUUUGCUCUUGUGUGAUAUCGAUUCCAUCUUGAGCUAGUAAGAAGGACCAUUGUCAUGAGUGGCCAAGUUAAGAGAGACAAACCCAAAUGGAGAUCCUAGGAGUUUGAAUAUAAUAUUUGUUUGAUUGUUUGAGUGAUUGCUAAGUCCGAAGGAAAGGAGCAUCUUGAAUCAUCUUUAUGAUUUCAAGAAAAGGAACUCCAAGGGUUUUAUCUCUUCUCUUAUCUUUGCGUGUUUAGAACUAGCCAUUCUCUUCUUCUCUCCACUCUAACCCAAGUCAAACUCAUUUAUGUGCAAACUUUGACUUUGUUUCAAAUUAGAAACCUAGGCCUUAUGCCUUUGAUUUUUUCAAACUCUUUUCAUUAAUACUUAUUGUGAAUGAACCUUAAGUCUACUUUGACCUCAUUUUUGUGAA
rnacentral:lncRNA from 1 species